rnacentral:tRNA from 1 species
CCCAGAAAAAGGAGAUUUUAACUCCCACCCCUGGCUCCCAAAGCCAGAAUUCUAAAUUAAACUAUCUUCUGA